UAAACAGGAAGAGGGAUUUUUUUUUUAAGUAUUCUAAUUUUCAACAUUUAUGGCCUUCUUUGUCGGUCAGAGGCUCUUUUUAUUUGACUAAGUUGAAAUGCAUUUGAGAUGUGUUUAAAAACCAGUGAUUACACAACCUCAAUACACGUAUUUUUAGGAUUUCCUCUCUUUCAAAGGACCCAAGAAACAAGUUUUAAAGUAGCGUAAACUGUCACAAGAGUCUAGUGGGUCAGAAACACUAGCAGACAGCGCGAGGUGAAGAAAGGUUGUCUCAAAGAAGCCAGAAAGCGGUGCAGGGGUAACCUCUCGGCGCCGCGGCGGAAGUCGCCUUCGUGGGCGGUGGCCGCCGGCGCCCCGAAAACAGCGCCGCCUGCUGGUGAAAAUGGAGAAAGCUCGGAUCUCGCCAGAGGCUGCGGCGUCGCUCCGGGACCGCUUAGAACCGACCGGCGGCGUUCCAAACACCGUUGCACUCUGGAUGCUGCACUUAGGCCCCCUACCCAACAAAACUGAAAGUAGUGGUCCCUACCAGAGCCCAGCCUUUCUGUGGAGAAGAGAAACCUAGAGGCCCGUUAUGGUGUUGGUAUACAAUGUUUCAAAGGGCUUGACUGCUUUUAAUACUUCUAAAUCUAAGGAUAAUUGUUAUUUAAGACAAUGCUAAAGGCGAGUGAAACAUAGAACCUGAUAAAAGCUCUCUUUCAUUUAUCCUAUCCUACUUUAGGGUACUUUCAUAUCUACAAAAUAUUAAAAGAGCUCACUAGGAGCCAAUUGGAAAAAACAGGCAGGGGGCUCAGUUUCAAAAUGGUUGUGCUUAUCAUUUCUCAUUAUGUCCCCUCAUUUUUAUUCCAGGAUUGUUACUGUGCCAUUUCUGGCGUCCCUCCUCCUCACCCCACUCUUUUUUUCUCUAUACUCAUUUGACAGGAGCCUUUGCAAUCAUCUGCUUAGACCACGUCAUCAACAUCCACUGGGAGGGAAUUAUGGUACCACCUUUCUCCCCCUAUGGCUGAAGGCCACGGAAAGAAGACGAUGAGUUGCGCUUCUCUUGAGCCAGCGUGAGGGUUGGGAAUUGUAACCUGCAAGAUGAUGAUGCCAGAGUGCAGCUUCUCCCUUUUAAUGCUGUGUGAGAGCUUUAUGUUGCCCUGCUUUCUCCUACAGAGCUCUGACCUUCAUUGUUGCCCAAAUGAAGCUCUAACAACCUUUUGUCCCUUCCACUUGCAGAGAUUCAGUGCAGUUUGUGUAAGAAUUGUACGUCUCCGUUUUUCUUCUAGUAAAAGAGGGAAGACCCAGAGAUGGAUGGUUUCAGUUGGACUGGUCAUGCUGUUUAUCAGGUCCCUGUUCUCUGAGAUGAAAAUUCCCAUGAUGCCUCCUAUCAGGGCAUAGCUAUAGGCACAAAUUAUAGGCUCUGGUUCAAAACAGAGCCCUCUCUUUUGUUCAGUAGCUCCAGAAACACCGUAAUUAGGAACCCAAUUAGAACAGAAGGCUUCUUGAGGGUCCUGGAGAAGGAAGGCUAGGCCCCCAAGUCCUGUUCAUAACUACUUGGGCUGUAGCUUUCAUAAGCUGUAUCCAAGCAUAGGAGCACUGAGAGCUCAGUGGUUGAAGGUCAAAGAAGAGCAAUGGAUAUUUGGUAACUUAGUGAAUCAGGGACAGGAUCUGAGACAAUGUUUGACAUGUUUAUCUGUAGAGAAAUACAAGUCAGGAGGGAGCUGUCUCCCUAAAUGCUUGUGCUAUGAAAGUGUCCUUCAGGGAUAGGAUGCAUUAACAGGGCAGCUGAGAACAUUUAGUCCUGCGCAGGCAGGUACACCUCUCCCCAUGCACAUCCCCAGGACUGCUGAACCGAGUGUUACUAUACUGAACUAAUCUGAGCUAAUAGGGCGGGGACACAGCUCUGAGCCUCUUCUGCCCCAGUCUCAGAAAUCGGCUCAGACAAAGCAAAGCAGUUUCUCGAGGGGGAGGGGUGGCCGCUUUCUCUUUGUUCUCUCUUGGGAAAUGGGCUCUCUCUCAACUCUCAUACACCAGCUGCUUUCACCUUUUGGAAGAGGGCAAAAUGAGUUAAUCGCCAACAAUGAUUUGGGCAGCAUAUUUGUGGAGCCCUGAACUCUGUAAAAUGCAGGGUCAAGCUAUUUUUAGAAUUCUAAUGUGCUCUAAGUUUUUAUUCUGGGUUUCUAGUCAAGAAUUUCAGAAAGGUGCCCCUCUAUCAAAUAAAAAUAAAGAGAUCGCCUCACAAAGGGGUGGUGUACGUAGAGUAUUUUAAAUCCUACUUAACCUAGUAAUUACAUGUUCUACACCUUAUGCUCAAGAAUCUCUUCCUGAGAGAGGUAUGAUUUAAUGAACAAAUUCCUUUGUCUGCUAAAAAAUCCCUUCAACAGUAAAAGCUCUCUGAGAAAUCAUAUCUUUCUACACUGAUUUUUUUUCUCAUAAGAAUGAUUUAACAUAGCUCCUUGAAAAAUAAGAACUUUCAGAAUUGUCUAUCCCUGAUUUAAGUGUGGUAUUAAGACAAAGAGAGAGCUUGUUCUUAUACCAGGAAUAGGCAUGCCACUCCCCAUACAAUCAGAGCAUCUGCUGCCUGGACCAGUUCUUAAACCAAAAGCCACAUGUGGCUUCUGAGCUUGACAGCUGAAGUGGCCUUUUUUGUCCACUUGGAAUUUUAGUUUGGGCUGUCUAGGACAGGCUCACACACAGCAGAAAAUGGUCUCUUUGAGUCAGAGAAAGCCUACUGGACUGAGAAGGACUAAGCUGACAUUUUGGAAAUAUUCUAGGUUUAUUUCCUGGGACUUUACCACCCCAAAUUAAGGUACUUUCAGUCCCUUCAUGUGACAUCCUCAGGCUCUAUAAGACAGUUCCUAUUUUUCUGGGAUUUUAUCUGCCAGCUAAAUAUCAGCAAUUUUGCCCAGAAUAACAGAAUAUCUGCAUGUUUUUCCUGAGCCAGGCCUUAGGUCAUGCGGAGAGCCGCUCCUCUCCUCCAGCUCCAGGCCACCUCAUUCUUUCCAGCACUCCCCAGAGGAAGUGAGAACAACACCCCCCACGCCAGGAAACCAGCUGCACGUUAGCCUGUGACCUAAUGGCUCAAGUUCUAUAGACCUGGGGAGAAAAAAAAGACCAGCUUUUCUAAAGGGAAAGAUACUGCAGUUCUGCCUGAGAGCCAGGAAAUAUCGAUUGCUUAAUGAAACAGACCUUUGGAAGGAUUCAGGGCCUGGCUCUACCUCCACGUGUCUGAAGCGAAGCCCCUGCCCUGCUUCCCUCAGUUUCCAUAUCUGUAAAAUGCCAUUAACACUUCAUGGACCUUUAUUAUAUCAAAACCACGUUAUACUGGCAUUACAUAAGAAUUAGAUAAUAGAAUGAUAGAGAUGGAAGUGAUCUUAGGCAUUACCUGGUCCGAUAUCUACCUUUGUAAGAUUAAAAAGCACAGGACAAAA